ACCCAAAAGACUAGGUUACAAAAUCUCUCUGGUCAUAAAAACAUAGUGAGCCACAUCUUUUUGUCAUAACCUUCCCCUUUCUGGACUAUUUGGACAACGAGAAUCAGGAUUGAAGAGUUUUUGGUAGUGGAGGGGUUACAAAGGUAGUUUUCAUGAGAAACUGACAGAGGUUUCCUCCUGUCUGACAGAGCCACUCCCAGAUGGCACCAAGGUGGACACACCGACAGCCAAGGCCAAGCCAUCAGCAACAGUGGCAGUGCCUGAGGAUAACUCUUUUAAGAACAGGGUAAACCUGCUGUGCAGCAGCACCUGGAAGUGAGGACUGAGAGUGUGUUGGAGAAACAGUUCUCCAAACACCAAAGUCAGUGGAGAAGGACAGGUGGGAACUGCCAGAGCAGUUUCCCCUGCAGCCCAUGGUUAAGACCAUGAUGAAGCAGGUUGUCUGUCUGCAGCUGAUAGAGUUCCAUGGGGGAGCAGGUAUCUGCCUGCAGCCCAUGGAGGACCCUACACCAGAAAGGGGUAGAUGUGCCUGAAGAAAGCUGUGACCAUGUGAGAAGCCUGUGCUGAAACAAGAUCCUGUCAGGGGCUGUGGCCCUGUGAAGAGAGGGACUACACUGGAAUGGGUUUCCCGGCAGAACUUGUGACCUCAUGGAGACUCACACAAGAACAGACCAUUCCUCAGGGACUGGACCCCCUGGCAUGGAUGUGUGUUGGAGCCAGUCACGAAGAUUGGCAGCCUGUGGGAAGGGCUUUUAUUGGAGGAGCUCCAGGAUGACUGUUUCCUGUGGGAGGGACCUCACACUGAAGGAGGGGAACAGUGUGGGUAGGGAGGAGCCCCAGAGACAAAUGUGUGCUGAACUGUAUCCAGCUUCCAUUCCUCAUCUACUGGUGCUGUGCAGGAGAGAUGUAGAGAAUUUAAGAGUGAACUUGAGCCUGUGACAAAAGAAGGAGAAACCAGAUGGAAAUGAGGAGAUAAAGGGAAGAUUGUUCACAGUACAGUAAAUAUUAUGACACAAAAGAUAUCAUCUGGAAUAAAGAAGAGAUUGAAAGACAAGAACCAGAUGGAAUGCAGUGAUGAAAUGUAAGAUACUUCUACCUCUAUGUCAUUUGUUCAAAGGCAGCCACAGGACCUGUGAAUCCUGAAGGAAACAGGACACUAUCUGUAUGGCCCUUCUGUGGCACAUAAAGAUGCAGCUGCUAUAAAUCACAGAAAUGGUGACAUUAUUGAAGGGAGAGAGAGCUGCAUGUAGCAUUUUUCCUGACCUCUUUGCAAAAGAGUCAAGUCUAGAGUUUAAUGAAAUGAAAUCUCUUUCAAGGGAAUCCGAAUGAGGCUGCCUCUACAGCACUGUUCUGGGGAAAUUAUUUCAGCUGGCCUCUGAGAAGAUUUACACCUAGGUCUUCAGUGUCAGAAGUUAAGGCAGGCUGCAUUCACUACCUGGAGACCUUCUUAUCACUUCUUAUCCUAAAGCCAGAAGCUGCCUCUGAAAUUGCUUGAAGUAAAAUGUUUUAGGUAUGGAAAAGAUAUAAACAAAUUAAUAAGAGCCCAAGAUCACUAUAACUUUCAUCUCAAAAAGUAUUAGCCUACCUAGAAAUUUCCUGACCAUAGCAGGGAAAGAGAUUAAAGUUGUUUUUCUCUCAAAAAAAGGUCAAAUAAAGUUAUUUUAUUCUAGUUAAUAGUGACUGUCUGUAUUACAACAGUUCUUAUACUUGGCACAAUAUUUAGUCAGAAAACUGUUCUUCCUGUAGUAAACUGAGUAACUAACGUUUGAAAUUUUUUUAAUAAUACCAUUUUCUUUAUUAAUUUGGACAUUUUUCUUCUAGCUCCAUCAGUAAGAGAACAAAUUUGAGUAAAGAAUUUAGUUAUCGCUUGACAUAAUUUACUACAAAAAUUACACUCAAGUAAAUUCCUUUAUUAUUCAAGAAACUGAAUUAUUAAAAUAGUCUUAUGUUAAUAAGUCACUACCCUCUCAUCAAGAUAAAGCAACUGGUGUUUUUUUCAGAUCUUAGCAAAUACUAAUAAUAUACUUAGAAUAAAUGUUUUGAUAUAUGUCCCAAUUUGCUUAAUAUUAAAGAACUGCAAUAUCACACAGCUGUGUGAACAUUUAUUUGAUUAGCUGAUCUUUAAAAUCGCAUAUUUAAACAGUUUGAUUGAAGCUGGGAAAAGAUAGUGUUUAGGGUAUUCAAACAUCUAAAUAUGAUG